rnacentral:rRNA from 1 species
UACAGAGGUCUCAAGCGUUGUUCGGAUUCAUUGGGCGUAAAGGGUGCGUAGGCGGCGCGGUAAGUCGGGUGUGAAAUCUCGGGGCUUAACUCCGAAACUGCAUUCGAUACUGCCGUGCUUGAGGACUGGAGAGGAGAGUGGAAUUUACGGUGUAGCGGUGAAAUGCGUAGAUAUCGUAAGGAAGACCAGUGGCGAAGGCGGGUCUCUGGACAGUUCCUGACGCUGAGACACGAAGGCCAGGGGAGCAAACGGG